CAGACUGCACAGAUGGAACAUGGAAAGGCUUUUAACAGAAAUGAAUACUUUCAGACUAGGUUUGAAGGACUGAGUAGGAGUAAACUAAAAGAGAAAAAGCAGGACAAAAGAAGCACCACUUUGGAAGCUCAAAGCCGCACUGGAAACACAGUCUUUCAGGAUGUCUGAAAGGGGCAAGUCUGUUUGUGUGGGGUAAGAAAUGCGGGGAGACAAACGGACAGUGGACAGAUUGCAGAGAGCUCUGUGUGCUGAGAGGAGGGUGCAGACCAGAUUUUUAAAUUGAGAAUGCAACAGUGAAGGAUUUCAAGCUUGGAGUGAGAGGGGAGACUACGAGCCUGCAGUGAUAAGGCAAAGCUGAAGAUUUCAGAGCCAAGGCCACACCCUACAGUUGCCAUGGAAUGGGGUGGCACAGUGGGCUUUGGAGGUAAAGUCUGCAGUUGAGAAGUUCAAGGGUAGUAAGUACUUAAUGCCAGGUCAAUCAUCCCUUUUAAGACACAGAUAUCAUCUGCAGCGUUUUCAGGAACAGCGAUAGAGAAGAAAAGCGGGCAGCUACUAGAUAUUCAAAUCUUCCACAAAUGUCAGGGAGAGAGUCAGGCAGUUGGUAGAAGAGACCUGUAAAGCUGGGUACCAUAAGCCUCAACACAGGUGUUUUUAUUUCAAGGCUGGGGAGCUGUGCUUUGGAAAAGCAAUGAGGAGGUAACAGGAAGUCUCUUCUCCUUCUAAAUCCUGUGUUCAUGGAGGAGGGUGGGUUUUCUCCUCUUGAGAGGGAGUUACAUACAAGUUUAAGGGAAAAGAGUCUGAAGUUUCCACCUAAAUGAUUCUGAAAGAAUCAGUGGUGGAGCAAGAAGAGUGAUCCCAUUUAGGCAAGGAAUCCCUGACCCUUAUCUGGCUCAGCUUAACCUGGGAGGGCACAGUCAUCACAUCAGCUGGAGGAAAGAAUGAACAUGGAUUGGAAGAGCCUGCUGGUGUUGCAGAACAACAAUCCGGAAAGCCCUUGGAGGAGGGAGGAGACUGUCAUUCACCAGCAAACCCCUGCCCCCUCACUUUUUCUUUUUUGUAAUUGGAAGUUCAGGUUGAACUGCUCUGUAGUUAUUCACCCACUUCUGCUGGUCAAAGGCCCAUGAGGAUUUAAAUGACUAAAUAGGCCAUAAAAUGCCAACCUUUUAGACGUCUAAAAAGUGUCUGCUGGAUCAAACAGUCAUCACGAACCACCCUUAGAUUCCUCUGCCACUCACUCUGCUCCCUGUGUCUGGGACACCCUGAGUCCACAGUGACUCUUUGCCAAAGUAUAAAGAAACCACCAUGUACCUUUUCAAAAAUGUCCACUUGUCCUUAAAGUCAUGAAUAAAGGAAGAGAUGGCUUCCAGAUAUGCAACUGGACUUCUGACAGCCAUCAUCCUCUAAAAUUUCCCUGUGUUUUGACUGAAGUUAUCCACCCACUUCUGCUGGUUCCUGGCUCACAUAAACAUUGAGCAAGUAACUUUCCAUUAGACCCAGAGGAUAGACUAGGAUAGAGUUCCGAGUGUCUGAAAAUUCCUGGUCCCCAACAAAACUGUGUUCUGCUCAAUAAUUUAUUUCGUAAGAAGUUAUAAUAAGUCUAGUCAUUAAAUCAAAAGAGAAAAACCUUAAUGAAGUAUAAUAUUGCUUGGUACUUGUUUUUGUCAGUUCCAUUUCUUCAUUAACUUUUUGAUUGGGAAAAUAAAGAUAAUUACACAAAUCUAUUCUCAAAUUUAGCCAUGGAUGAUUUGAUUUCUCUUUCUGUCUCUUCUGUGCCUGUGCAUACACACACACACACACACACACACACACACUCAGAGAACAGAGUUGUCUCUUUCUCUCUCUAUAUAUAUACAGAG
rnacentral:lncRNA from 1 species